rnacentral:rRNA from 1 species
GUCUAAGAGAUUAGAGGUUCCUCUUCGGGGACAGAAUGACAGGUGGUGCAUGGUUGUCGUCAGCUCGUGUCGUGAGAUGUUGGGUUAAGUCCCGCAACGAGCGCAACCCUUAUUACUAGUUGCCAGCAUUAAGUUGGGCACUCUAGUGAGACUGCCGGUGACAAACCGGAGGAAGGUGGGGACGACGUCAAAUCAUCAUGCCCCUUAUGACCUGGGCUACACACGUGCUACAAUGGAUGGUACAACGAGUCGCGAGACCGCGAGGUUAAGCUAAUCUCUUAAAACCAUUCUCAGUUCGGACUGUAGGCUGCAACUCGCCUACACGAAGUCGGAAUCGCUAGUAAUCGCGGAUCAGCAUGCCGCGGUGAAUACGUUCCCGGGUCUUGUACACAC